rnacentral:piRNA from 1 species
UGCUGAUGCCGCCUUUGAGUCCUUUCAGAGU